AGCUAACGCAUUAAGUACCCCGCCUGGGGAGUACGGCCGCAAGGCUAAAACUCAAAGGAAUUGACGGGGCCCCGCACAAGCGGCGGAGCAUGCGGAUUAAUUCGAUGCAACGCGAAGAACCUUACCUGGGUUUGACAUAUAUCGGAAACGUUCAGAGAUGGGCGCCCNNNAAGGUCGGUAUACAGGUGGUGCAUGGCUGUCGUCAGCUCGUGUCGUGAGAUGUUGGGUUAAGUCCCGCAACGAGCGCAACCCUCGUCCAAUGUUGCCAGCGGGUUAUGCCGGGGACUCAUUGGAGACCGCCGGGGUCAACUCGGAGGAAGGUGGGGANGNCGUNNNNNNAUCAUGCCCNNNNNGUCCAGGGCUUCANNNNNGCUACAAUGGCCGGUACAAAGAGUUGCGAGCCUGUGAGGGUGAGCGAAUCUCAAAAAGCCGGUCUCAGUUCGGAUNNNGGUCUGCAACUCGACCCCAUGAAGUCGGAGUCGCUAGUAAUCGCAGAUCAGCAACGCUGCGGUGAAUACGUUCCCGGGGCUUGUACACACCGCCCGUCAAGUCAUGAAAGUCGGUAACACCCGAAGCCGGUGGCCUAACCCG
rnacentral:rRNA from 1 species